rnacentral:rRNA from 1 species
GACGAACGCUGGCGGCGUGCCUAAUACAUGCAAGUAGAACGCUGAAGGAGGAGCUUGCUCUUCUGGAUGAGUUGCGAACGGGUGAGUAACGCGUAGGUAACCUGCCUGGUAGCGGGGGAUAACUAUUGGAAACGAUAGCUAAUACCGCAUAAGAGUAGAUGUUGCAUGACAUUUGCUUAAAAGGUGCAAUUGCAUCACUACCAGAUGGACCUGCGUUGUAUUAGCUAGUUGGUGGGGUAACGGCUCACCAAGGCGACGAUACAUAGCCGACCUGAGAGGGCGAUCGGCCACACUGGGACUGAGACACGGCCCAGACUCCUACGGGAGGCAGCAGUAGGGAAUCUUCGGCAAUGGACGGAAGUCUGACCGAGCAACGCCGCGUGAGUGAAGAAGGUUUUCGGAUCGUAAAGCUCUGUUGUAAGAGAAGAACGAGUGUGAGAGUGGAAAGUUCACACUGUGACGGUAUCUUACCAGAAAGGGACGGCUAACUACGUG